AGGAUAAUAGUUAAGUAUAUAAUAUUUUAUUUGCAUUAAAAAGUUAUUGAAAUUUCAAUUUAUCUUA
rnacentral:tRNA from 1 species